AGGAUCUGCUCCUAGUACGAGAGGACCAGAGUGGACGAACCUCUGGUGUACCGGUUGUGACGCCAGUCGCAUCGCCGGGUAGCUAUGUUCGGAAGGGAUAACCGCUGAAAGCAUCUAAGCGGGAAGCCUACCUCAAGAUAAGAUUUCCCUAGGACUUUAUGUCCUCUAAAGAGCCGUUGAAGACUACGACGUUGAUAGGUUGGAUGUGGAAGCAUAGUGAUAUGUGAAGCUGACCAAUACUAAUUGCUCGUGAGGCUUGACUAUACAACACCCAAACAGUUGG
rnacentral:rRNA from 1 species